GGUUAAGCGACUAAGCGUACACGGUGGAUGCCCUGGCAGUCAGAGGCGAUGAAGGACGUGCUAAUCUGCGAUAAGCGUCGGUAAGGUGAUAUGAACCGUUAUAACCGGCGAUUUCCGAAUGGGGAAACCCAGUGUGAUUCGUCACACUAUCAUUAACUGAAUCCAUAGGUUAAUGAGGCGAACCGGGGGAACUGAAACAUCUAAGUACCCCGAGGAAAAGAAAUCAACCGAGAUUCCCCCAGUAGCGGCGAGCGAACGGGGAGGAGCCCAGAGCCUGAAUCAGUGUGUGUGUUAGUGGAAGCGUCUGGAAAGGCGCGCGAUACAGGGUGACAGCCCCGUACACAAAAAUGCACAUGCUGUGAGCUCGAUGAGUAGGGCGGGACACGUGGUAUCCUGUCUGAAUAUGGGGGGACCAUCCUCCAAGGCUAAAUACUCCUGACUGACCGAUAGUGAACCAGUACCGUGAGGGAAAGGCGAAAAGAACCCCGGCGAGGGGAGUGAAAAAGAACCUGAAACCGUGUACGUACAAGCAGUGGGAGCCUCUUUAUGGGGUGACUGCGUACCUUUUGUAUAAUGGGUCAGCGACUUAUAUUCUGUAGCAAGGUUAACCGAAUAGGGGAGCCGAAGGGAAACCGAGUCUUAACUGGGCGUUAAGUUGCAGGGUAUAGACCCGAAACCCGGUGAUCUAGCCAUGGGCAGGUUGAAGGUUGGGUAACACUAACUGGAGGACCGAACCGACUAAUGUUGAAAAAUUAGCGGAUGACUUGUGGCUGGGGGUGAAAGGCCAAUCAAACCGGGAGAUAGCUGGUUCUCCCCGAAAGCUAUUUAGGUAGCGCCUCGUGAAUUCAUCUCCGGGGGUAGAGCACUGUUUCGGCAAGGGGGUCAUCCCGACUUACCAACCCGAUGCAAACUGCGAAUACCGGAGAAUGUUAUCACGGGAGACACACGGCGGGUGCUAACGUCCGUCGUGAAGAGGGAAACAACCCAGACCGCCAGCUAAGGUCCCAAAGUCAUGGUUAAGUGGGAAACGAUGUGGGAAGGCCCAGACAGCCAGGAUGUUGGCUUAGAAGCAGCCAUCAUUUAAAGAAAGCGUAAUAGCUCACUGGUCGAGUCGGCCUGCGCGGAAGAUGUAACGGGGCUAAACCAUGCACCGAAGCUGCGGCAGCGACACUAUGUGUUGUUGGGUAGGGGAGCGUUCUGUAAGCCUGUGAAGGUGUGCUGUGAGGCAUGCUGGAGGUAUCAGAAGUGCGAAUGCUGACAUAAGUAACGAUAAAGCGGGUGAAAAGCCCGCUCGCCGGAAGACCAAGGGUUCCUGUCCAACGUUAAUCGGGGCAGGGUGAGUCGACCCCUAAGGCGAGGCCGAAAGGCGUAGUCGAUGGGAAACAGGUUAAUAUUCCUGUACUUGGUGUUACUGCGAAGGGGGGACGGAGAAGGCUAUGUUGGCCGGGCGACGGUUGUCCCGGUUUAAGCGUGUAGGCUGGUUUUCCAGGCAAAUCCGGAAAAUCAAGGCUGAGGCGUGAUGACGAGGCACUACGGUGCUGAAGCAACAAAUGCCCUGCUUCCAGGAAAAGCCUCUAAGCAUCAGGUAACAUCAAAUCGUACCCCAAACCGACACAGGUGGUCAGGUAGAGAAUACCAAGGCGCUUGAGAGAACUCGGGUGAAGGAACUAGGCAAAAUGGUGCCGUAACUUCGGGAGAAGGCACGCUGAUAUGUAGGUGAAGUCCCUCGCGGAUGGAGCUGAAAUCAGUCGAAGAUACCAGCUGGCUGCAACUGUUUAUUAAAAACACAGCACUGUGCAAACACGAAAGUGGACGUAUACGGUGUGACGCCUGCCCGGUGCCGGAAGGUUAAUUGAUGGGGUCAGCGCAAGCGAAGCUCUUGAUCGAAGCCCCGGUAAACGGCGGCCGUAACUAUAACGGUCCUAAGGUAGCGAAAUUCCUUGUCGGGUAAGUUCCGACCUGCACGAAUGGCGUAAUGAUGGCCAGGCUGUCUCCACCCGAGACUCAGUGAAAUUGAACUCGCUGUGAAGAUGCAGUGUACCCGCGGCAAGACGGAAAGACCCCGUGAACCUUUACUAUAGCUUGACACUGAACAUUGAGCCUUGAUG
rnacentral:rRNA from 1 species